AACGAACGCUGGCGGCGUGCUUAACACAUGCAAGUCGAACGCGAAAGGGAACUUCGGUCCUGAGUAAAGUGGCGCACGGGUGAGUAACGCGUAGAUAACCUGUCUUCAUGUCUGGAAUAAUACGCCGAAAGGGGUACUAAUACCGGAUAUUCUUGCUUUUCAUAAGUUAUGCAAGCAAAGGUGGCCUCUGCAUAUGCUACUGCAUGAAGAGGGGUCUGCGUACCAUUAGCUAGUAGGUGGGGUAAUGGCCUACCUAGGCGACGAUGGUUAGCGGGUCUGAGAGGAUGAUCCGCCACACUGGCACUGGAACACGGGCCAGACUCCUACGGGAGGCAGCAGUGAGGAAUAUUGCGCAAUGGGGGAAACCCUGACGCAGCGACGCCGCGUGAGUGAGGAAGGCCUUCGGGUCGUAAAGCUCUGUCAAGAGGAAAGAAGUGUACAAUGGCUAAUACCUGUUGUAUUUGACGGUACCUCUAAAGGAAGCACCGGCUAACUCCGUGCCAGCCGCCGC
rnacentral:rRNA from 1 species